AACUAGGGCACACGCCUGGUAAACAGCCACAAAAAGAGUUGCAGACUUGGCUGGCCUUUUGUCUGUUUAUCUUUAACACGCAUGAAAAGGGAUCUGAAGUUUGCUCUAAGUAUUAAAGCAAGGUCCGUGUACCUUCAGGUCAUUUGAUUUUCUGUUUAAGAAAUAGAAUAUCUAGAAUUAAGCCAGAUUUUUGGACCCCUUUCGUCCCCUUUCGUCUGACUAAUCUUCUGUACUGCAACCAAAGCCACCCUUUUUUGAAUGGAUGUCAAUGGAAAAUUUACAGUUGUUUUUAAAGCCCGGGACACACCAAGCCGACGUCAAAGAACUAGUGGCGACGAAAGAUGAUUCGCUUCUCAUCGCCUGCGUCUCAGCCAAAAAGCUGCGCUUGAACACACCAAAAGGACUAAAGGCGACUGUCAACUAACACAUGCGUUCUGCGCCUGUGUGUAAGGAAAUAACCGUCUAUAUCAGCAAGUAUCAAUAGUCUAUUUCCGUCAUUCAAAAAGGGAAACUGAAACUACGACUGCAGAUAUCCAAACUGUAAACAAAACAGUGUUUGCUUACCAUUUUGAAUAUCGAUCAUGCUGAUCACUUUCUUCAUUCCAGUCGGCUCAUGUUAUUAUGAAAAUAUUUAGCUUUCACUUUUAUUCUUGUACACCGGCUCGUUCGCUAAGCUAAACAGUCAAUCAGAGUUCUCUCUCUCACCGACGGCCCAAUGGCGAUUCAACAUGCUGAAUUGGCCCAAAAAACCAUCAGCAUCCGACUACAGCCAACGGUGCGAAAAAAACACCAAAAAACUAAGCCGACCGACGAUCAAAAACAGCCCGACAUUGCCUGACAGCUGACUGUUGGCUUGGUGUGUCCCGGCCUUGAGAAGUCAGAUUCAUGAAAUGAACUUUUGGACCCUACUGGGGGUCAUUUGCCAUUUUGGGUAUACUGUAUAUUGUGAUGACCGGUAAAUCUCACCUGAAAGCCAAGGGAGGUCUCAUCCAUGGCCGGAGGAGGUGGAAAGCUGGAAGGGGGUGGGAGCCCGCUGGUGUCAAUGGCAGGUGGAGGAGGUGGAGGAUAGUCCCCUGUAAAAAAAAAAACAGCAAGACAAAGUUUAAUCAACCAAACAUGUUUAAAGGCAAGACACCAAUAAGUGACUGAUAAACUCUCUUCCUCAGGGAUGAAUCAAUACACAAAAGGUCGGAGUGGGUGGAAAACUUUUGUAAAAUCUGAUAGAUCAAGCUUACAUAUAUCUGACACACCUAGAUGUCACAAAGAAUGCCAGAUGAAAGCUUUAGGGAAUAUGAUACUUUCACAUGACAUGAUGAUUAACUACAGUUUUUUAUAUCUACAGCCUCCUACAAAACAUCGGCCUGUGUAAGUACUUAAAAGUGUUAGAGAGUGUAGAAAUUGAAAGGAAGGGAGGCUUACACACACUUACCAUAUUGUCACUGAUAGAUUAAUACUGUACAUUUAACAGCAACUAUUUGGUUAACUAAGAAGGUCUAAGCUGUAGUAAGUAGGUGUUUGUACAGAUUGAAAAUCUAAGUACUGUGCUCAAAACAAGUUAGAUGGGACAUUUGUCCAGCCAAGUGUGUGGCAAUAAGCCAAUCGCAGAGUUGUAAAGUCCACAGCUAAUCCAGGGAUUGGGUUCCACUCCAUGUUUCAAGCAGGAUCAAAAUCUGCUGGCCAAAUUAUAUUCUGAUUUGGCUGUGCUUGGCAUCCAGUUUUGGACUGAAUCAUUUGACCGUCUAAGUACAAAUCCACAAGUGAGCUUUCCAAAUUACAGCGUUUUAGGGGAGGCAAUAGGAGUUCACUGCUGUAUCAUGAGUCUUUGAAGAGACUUUUAAUGUAUUUUUUUUUUAGUCUUGUUUAUUUUUUCAGUAUUUUUAUCUGUCAUUUGGAUUUAAUUGAUGUCAGAAAUUUUGUUUAUCCAAGUCUACUGGCCAAAUUAAUUUACUAUGGUCUUGAAAUGACUAAAAAACUGAAAUAUGAAUGUAGACAGAAAAUGUCACAUGUCUAAUUUUUGUACAACAUAAAAUUGCUGUGAACAUGGCAUCAAACAUUCCCCAAAGGCACAAGAGCACUUUAGGUGAACCGUUUAUGUAAUAACCUUGUGACCUCUGUGAAAACUCAAGCACUGCAACAAAAUAAAGAAGGAAAAGUGUCUUACAUCCCCCUUUCUCCUCCUCCUGCGAUUUCUAUUUGUACUUUUCUCUGCCUUAGCUUACAUCCUAAAGUCACUUGUAAGUUGCAAGUUGACACAAAAUUAAUAUCUUAAGAUCCUUAAUAUCUUAUGCCUCUCCAACAUCCAAUGAUGUUUGGAUUUCUGAAUUCAGGGCAACACGAGAGAUGUAAAUGUUUCAAAGAUGGCAUGAUUUAUUGAGGAGGGCUGGAAGAACGGGGCAAAAAGAGACCAAGAGAGGGAGGUGUGGGACAGUGCCUUGAACUACAGAGCAAACUGAAAGAGGAAGCUAUUUUUU